CUCUGGCAUCCCAGGACGCAGCAGGGCCUAGGCAGCAGUGUGUUACCUGAGGCCUAACAAAAAUCUUCCUGUCCCAUGUUCCUGACGAGUUAUUUUCCUCCCACGGAUAUUAUUAAUAAGGACAUGUGCAUUGGUGCUCCAGUAGCCAUCUUGAACCAUGAAGUGACCUUGAGAAUGAAAACUAAAGAUGGUGGAGCAAAAAUACUGAAGCCUGGAUUCCUGACGGUACCAUAAAGCUGCCAUGCCACUCUCGGACUGCCUGCUUCCCAGAUUUCCUUUAUGCAAAACAAAAAUAACCUUUAAUCUUCUUAUGCCCUUGUUCUUUUUCUCUGUUAUAUGUAUGCAAAUCUAUUCCUAAUACUAGUUUCAAUAGUAUUAAAUAAAAAGAGGGUUCUGUGGUCAAAUAAUUUUGAGAACUAGUACAAUAAAGUUU
rnacentral:lncRNA from 1 species